rnacentral:misc_RNA from 1 species
AUGCAGCUGCCCGUAAAGCUGUGCAACGUGCCUUUACGUGUAGUCACACCCGCGUAGGUUCCUCUACAUACGCUGGUUUCUUCGCCUACCCUGCCGCACGGCUCCCUCCUCUGGUUUCUUUCGUUGUUUUCUACGCGCAUUCCCCCCCCCUGUCUUUUGCGUGCGGUACUCUUUUCGUCUUUCUUAUCUUUCCGACUGUGGGGUCCACCCCCGGCUCGUCCCGUGCGCAGCGCCCCCUCCGCUGCUAGCGAUCUUGCACCCCGUACCACUCCCUGACACGCAACAAGCAGCAGCAUGAGCAAGCCCAGCGAGUCUAUUCCAGCACAGGCGGAGGGCGAGGUCCUGAGCGACUCGCUUAUAGACGGGAACCCCGGCAACGCCGUCGAUAAACACCCGAGCGGCGAGCAGGGCAACCAUCUCCACAAAAACGGAAGCCUGACGGCCUCAUCAAGCCACAAUGAAAACGGUGCCGACGCCGCCAAGCCGGGGCGCAACAUCAUCUUCCGCUUCACCGGGUGGCUGAUACCCUAUGGCGGUGUCAUCUCGAACUGCUUCAGCCUUGGCUCCGUCACACUCGGCGGCGGUAUUAUCUCGAUGCCGUCCUCCUUCGCCAUGUCGGGCAUCAUCAUGUCUGUCAUCUACCUCGUGGUCAUUACGGCGGCGACGGUGUACACCAUGACGCUGCUUGGCUACGCGAUGAAGGCGACGGGCUGCAAAACGUUUGAGGAGCUGUCUCUCGUGCUCUUUGGUCGCGGCUGGGACUACUUCGUUGGGUUUGUCCUGUGGCUGUCGUGCUUCGGCACGGCGGUCGCCUACAUCAGCGCCGUCAGCAGCCUCAUCACACCGAUCCUCGAGAAGUCGCCCGGCACGCCCGCGUACCUGCUAACCACCUCCGGCAACCGCCUGAUCACGAGUCUGAUAUGGCUCGUGUUCAUGGUGCCAGUUGUGAUUCCGAAGCGCGUAAACAGCAUCCGCUACGUCUCCGCAAUCGGUGUCUUCAUGGUGCUGUAUUUUGCCGUCACUAUUGUGGUGCACUCGAGCAUGAAUGGGCUGAAGGAGGGCAUGCGCGGUGAUAUGAAGUACUUCACCAGCGGCAACGAAGCGGUUUACGGAUUGUCCAUCUUCAUUUUCUCGUUUCUGUGCCAGGCUGUGACGGGGUCAGUGUACUUCGAGCAGCGCCCUCGCCCGUCUGUACGCCAGCUGACGAUCGCGAGUGCGAUCUCGAUGACGGUGUGCAUGGUGCUGUACAUCUUUACCGGCGUCUUUGGCUACUUCGACUUCGCGGACGAUACGCAGGACUCCAUCCUGUACAACUUCGACCCUGUGCAUCAGCCGUACAUGAUGAUCGCGUACAUUGGCAUGCUGAUCAAGAUCUGCGCCGCCUUUGCGAUGAACAUGCUGCCGUGCCGAAACUUCGCCUACCACUGCCUGAACUGGGAUCUGGAGACGGUGCCGUACUGGAAGCACACCAUCGCGAUUCUCACCAUGGCUGUCGCCACCCUUGUGUGCGGUCUGUUCAUCCCGAGCAUCAACACGGCUUUCGGUUUGGUGGGCUCCCUGUGCGGCGGAUUCAUCGGCUUCAUCUUCCCUGCGUACUUUUGGAUGUACAGCGGCAACUGGAGCCUGUCAUCUGUGGGCAUCUGGCACUGGCUGGCGACGUACUUCCUCGUGGUGGCGGGUGUCAUUGCAGUUGUGUUUGGCACCGUUUCCACCGUGUACUUUAGCUUCUUCUUGUAGGCCCUCGCCAGUGCGUAGACCGUGCACGGGGGUGCUGUGCAUGAGCCGGGCAGCAGAGCAGAUCGCACUGUCGCCGUAUUGUUUCACUCAGAAGUUCAGUUUUGCUUGAGCACUGUACGUUCCUGUGCGUCUGUCUGUGUCUGUUUCUCCCCUCCCUCCGCCUCCGCCUCGCGUUUCUUGCGCAUCGAGCGUUGUGCGGACACGGGGCUGCCUCUUUCUCUCUCUCCCUCCCUGUGCCGCUGCUGCCACUCGCAGAAGCGAAGUUUUUUUUUUCGUUGACCAAAGGAUCGGCAGCUGUUAGUGGAUGGAGGGACCGUUCACCUCUGCUGUGUUGUCUGUCCGCGACUUCCUCCAGCCUCUUCUGCCAGGACGUCUUUGCCUGUCUCUUCCACGGGCCGCGCAACUUUCUGGCCGUCGCCGAUGCUGCCCCUUCUGACGAGCCCGUUCUCCUGGUAGCACCGGCCCUAUUUACGCCCUCACGCACUCCUUUUUGCCGUCUUCCCUUGCGCGUCCGUCGCCGUGCCGAGUGAGAGGCACGGAAGAUGGGAAGGGUGCGCGUGUAGGCGACCGGUGCAGAUGCGACUUCUCGCAUGGAAGACGAAUGCGAACGUUCGUCUUCGCUGCCUGCGCACGGGAGCAGUGGGGACGGCAAUGCAAGGCGAUGAAGAGGACUGUGUGGAGCGCAUCUUUUUAUUCGGCGUGUGGGUGGGCUGAGCCAACGGUGAGACAUGUUCCGCUCUUUUGCGUUGCCUUCGCUUUUUCUUCUGAUACGCUGGCGCAUAUGCUCGCUGCUUUCUCCUCCCUCUUCUUGAGUCGCUCGUCUUCUUUUCAUUGGGUGUGUACGUCCCUGUUUUUCUUUCCGUUCUUCGCAUCAUCAUUAUCUCUCUCCUGCUUUCCUGGGUACGCACUACUUCAGUGGACAUCUUUUAUCUUUCCUGCUGCUGUGUGUAUAUGGAGGCGUUUGUGACGCUCGGAUGCUUCUCGUUUUUUCAUUUUGUAGCGGUGUGUGUGUGUGUGUGAGGGGGGGUCUCUCUCCUUCGCAUGAGUGAUAGACGCAGGAAAGACGCAUUUUCUUGGCGCCAAAUGAUCUCACGCCCUCCCCCACUCCUUCUCAGGUGGUGCGUAUGCGCAGGCCUCAGAUGUCUCUCCAGCGCGCACGAUCGGCGCACUUCUCGCAGGAGCGAAGACGCGUAGAUGCGCGAACAAGAGCGCGCAACUUCACCGUUGUGGAUUCGCUCUGCUGCCCUGCUUCUUUCUUGCUGCAACUUUUAUUAUCGGAGGACUUCCUUUACGGAGCGCAUCUAG